UCAGCAUGCUUCAUAGUUUUUGUAGGAAAUCUUAGUUGCCUAUUUCUUGCUCCAUUGCAAGGUGUUUAAGUGAAGAAUUUCUUUUAUAUAAAGGAGUUUUGAAAUUGAUCUUGUAUAUGGACAUUUUAGUGGAUGAACUGAAGAUAUGAAUCACCGGCAAGAGAAGUUUGUAAGGGCACUUGUGUGAUUCCACACAAUGAAACUGAUGAUUUGAAGUCAGCUGGAGCUGUGAGGUCUGUGUUUGGACUGUUCGUUGAGCUAGUUAAAUCAUGGAACCUUCCUGACUGGCUCGUGCAUUGGGGCCAUCCCGCCAACAUGGAUGUUGUGCUCUUUGCCAUGGGUGGUUAUGGAACUUACCUGGGAUUUAUAAUCCGGUUUU